UACGAAGGGGGCUAGCGUUGCUCGGAAUUACUGGGCGUAAAGCGCACGUAGGCGGCUUUCUAAGUCGGGGGUGAAAUCCUGGAGCUCAACUCCAGAACUGCCUUCGAUACUGGAGAGCUCGAGUCCGGGAGAGGUGAGUGGAACUGCGAGUGUAGAGGUGAAAUUCGUAGAUAUUCGCAAGAACACCAGUGGCGAAGGCGGC
rnacentral:rRNA from 1 species